CUUUUAGUCAAGCUGUUGGGAGUGUGGAGAGGCUGAGCAGUGAAUCCACCCAGACUGUCUCCCUUUGACUCUUUAGGAGGAACUUUUUGGAACAGUUCAUUUUAGAUAUAUUUAUUUGACAAAGCCCUAAAAUAUUAUGUAUCCAGCGAGUCUCCUCCUGCACAGUUUGUUUAAGUAAAAUAAACCUUUUUAAGGAGAGGAAAUGUCUAAUUUUACUCCUCACUUUUGGCCAGUGUGGACUGUGCUGAUGGAUGAGAGGAGAGGGAGCAGGAAAAUGAAGGAAGAGAAGGAAUAAAACAUGGAAUAAGUGCUGAGGUUUUUCCCAGCAGACACACAGGGAAGGAGCUGAGCUGGGAAACGUGUUGUCAGCAUGACAUGAUCCAUCCAACAUUCCCAAAUAUUCCCAGCUCCAAGUACUAAAAACAGUCUGAACACAACAAUUCAGGGAACUGAAACAUUUUGGCCUUCAAGGAACGAAAACAAUGUCGAAAUGGGUCGGUGUGGUGCAAGAAUCACCUGUAAUUUCUCUUUCCUUGCCAUUCCAGGUACAAAAUCUUCCUCUUACACCUCACAUUUGGGCAUUAUUCUGUCCAAAGACUGGACUUUUCUGGGGUGGAUGUUCCGUGAGGGCCUGAAAAGCCACGACUGGAAUGUGUUGGCUUCCUCUCCUACCUCAAAUCUCUUCUCCAAACUCGGCUUUCCAGCAGCAUUCCCUGAUUAAUCUCCAGCCUGGGGUGACUCAGGGAAACCCAGAGCUUUGGAGCCCGUGGGAUUGUCCAACAAAAGCUCAAAUCAACAGCAAGUCCCCCCAUCACCCAGGAAUUAACCCAAGGUCGGUUUGGGCUGAAAGGACCCACUGGAAAGGAAAACUAAAAACAACCUGAAACUGUGGAACUGUGGUUUCUUGCCAUGGAUCCUCACGAGUUCCCAGAUCCAAAUUUCCGGAGUCAACGUCACACCUGCACCUCUCGGCCACGGAAGCUGGACCCGGUCCCGUGGGGUGGGAUAUUCCAGGCAGGAAUGCUGAUGGAUGAGGGCCUUCAGGAGGGAAACUUCCAACAUUUUAGCAGCUUGUCUCUGCAGUGGGAGGUAUCUGACAGGGAGUGAUUGUCCAGGGCCGUGACAUCCAGACGAAGACGAGGCGUGGAAACCGUUCCCGUCCGCGGGGCUCCUCCCGAACCCAGACCUUUUUUGGGAUGUGCGUGGAGAAGAUGCUCCCAGGAAGGUUCUGUGGAGGCUGCCAUUCCAUGGGGGGACUCCUUCAGAGCUCCCAGAGUGCCUUACACACCGGAAUAGAACAAAUCAGGGAAAAAAAACCCAACCCCAAAACGUGGCAUUUCCUCCCGGGAAUGAGGAUUGAGGAGCUGGCAACGACUUCACUGGGACAGCCAAGGCUGGUGGGCACUUGGUAUUUUCAGGAAGAAACACACACUGGCUAUAAAAAGGAGGGAAAAGCUCUUUUCAUUGCCUGUAUUAGUUAUUCCCUGGGCUCUCGGGCUGCUGGGGAGGAACCUGGGGGUGCAGCUUUAAAGCAAAACCGUCUCCGCGCUGGCCAGCAGCGAGUUCAGGUAAAAUGUUUCCAAAAAAAGGUUAAAGAGCUUUGCAUCUUGGAGACAGAGGAGGCAGGCUCUGGGAUCUUACAGGACUUGGAAUAAGAUGGUGACAAGGUUUUGUCCCCAAAGGUCAUUGCCGUGGGUGGCUGCCAGGCUGUGUCCUUCCACUCCAUCCAUCCACCUCCUGCUCCCAUUCAGGACAUACUGGGAAGGAACAGAGAGAGACAGGAGUUAUUUUUAGGCAGCAAACUGAGUUACAGCCCCGGCUCUGCCCCCUGUGCCCACAGGGAGACGUGUCCAGCAGCAGCAGCAGCAGCAGCAUUUGAACCCUCUGCAUUGCUCCACCCUGCAAAUGCUCCCCCUGAACGUCAGGAGAGCAUUCCCAGGGCCUCUGGCUCAGCUCUGGGAUCACUCCCUGCACGGAGCAGGGUCAGGAACCCGCUGGCAGAGGUGAAGGUCGGGGACACCACAGUGCUGGUGGCACCCGGAGCUGCCCGGGAGAGGAGAGGCUUUACCAGCUCCUGAACACGUUGGGAAUGUCCUGUUGGAUCCAACCAUCUCCUGGGGGUGUUCCCAAUCCGUGGGGCUGUUCCCACCCCCAGACACUGUUUGAGCUGAGGGAUAAAUCAAACAGAGUCCUUACCUUUCCCUC